rnacentral:rRNA from 1 species
ACGCGCAGAACCUUACCAACCCUUGACAUCCUUGGACCGCUAGAGAGAUCUAGUUUUCUCGUAAGAGACCAAGUGACAGGUGCUGCAUGGCUGUCGUCAGCUCGUGUCGUGAGAUGUUCGGUUAAGUCCGGCAACGAGCGCAACCCACAUCUUUAGUUGCCAGCAGGUUAAGCUGGGCACUCUAGAGAAACUGCCCGUGAUAAGCGGGAGGAAGGUGUGGAUGACGUCAAGUCCUCAUGGCCCUUACGGGUUGGGCUACACACGUGCUACAAUGGCAUCAACAAUGGGUUAAUCCCUAAAAGAUGUCUCAGUUCGGAUUGGGGUCUGCAACUCGACCCCAUGAAGUCGGAAUCGCUAGUAAUCGCGUAACAGCAUGACGCGGUGAAUACGUUCCCGGGCCUUGUACACACCGCCCGUCACACCAUGGGAGUUGGAUCUACCCGAAGGCCGUGCGCCAACCCGUAAGGGNG